GCGCACCAGUCGCGAAUCCUUCGCAAUGCGGGAAACCGCGACGAGGGGACUCCCAGUGCCUACGCUCAGCGUAGGCUGUUCCCGAGCCUAGAAAGCUCGGGGAGUAAGGGCUGGGUAAGACGGGUGCCAGCCGCCGCGGUAAUACCCGCAGCCCGAGUGGUGGCCACUAUUAUUGGGCCUAAAGCGUCCGUAGCCGGCCCGGUAAAUGCCUGGGUAAAUCGUGAGGCCUAACCUCACGAAUUCCGGGUAGACUGCCGGGCUAGGGACCGGAGGAGGGAGAGGGUACUCCAGGGGUAGGGGUGAAAUCCUGUAAUCCCUGGAGGACCACCGGUGGCGAAGGCGCUCUCCUAGGACGGGUCCGACGGUGAGGGACGAAAGCCAGGGGAGCGAACCGGAUUAGAUACCCGGGUAGU
rnacentral:rRNA from 1 species